GUCUAGGUGUCCCUUCCACUAAACCACACGAUCCUGUUUCUGAUCCCCUCAUCCUUACCGUCGGAUCAUUAUGAUUCAACGGCUCUGAACUCACUUUACAUUUAGUACAUAACUGUCUGAAACCCUUCCCCCCCCCCCUCCAAACCCGGUCAUUUCCCCGUCUCCCUCACUCUAAAGCAAACCCUAACCGCCCAAAAAUACUCCGCCUCCUCUGCCAUUGACCACCCGCUGGAAAUCGCCUCAUGGCGGUUCCGGUGGUCCAAACUUUCCCAAAUUUUUACUAGACAAGCCCCUUUCUCUACCCUUUCCAAAUCCAAAAGUCUCUUCUCCAAAAUCCCCACCCAAAUCCUCCAUUUUAGAACUAAAAAUCAGACCACGAACCUUAAUUUUUCGAAUUCCAAUUCCUUUCCUCCCAAAGCUCGAUUUAACUCAAGACUCGUGUUAAGCAAUCAUUCUUGUUGAGAACCCUUGAUUAAUAUGCGUUUUGACUUAUUUCGAGAGUCAUUUCUUCUCGGCCAAAUCAUUGUGUCCAGCCGAGUUCAUUUCCCUCCUUGUUCAUUGGGUCAAUUUAGUCACCGGCUCCUUCAAGUUAGCCGGUACCUCACCUCUUCUUCUUUGGUUUUUGUUUUUUGAUUUUUCUUUUAAUUCUAACCUUCUAUUUGUAUAAAUUUGUAUUUAUCUGUUCAAAUUAGUCGUUAUUAUCUACAUGUUCAAAUUAAUUGAAUAUUUGUUUGUUUGAUUAUAUAUUUGUUUAGAUUAAUUUAGAUUCUUAGUUGUUUCGGUCAGAUUUAUCAUGAUUUUCUAUUUUAUUCUAGUUCUUCUUGCUUUUUUGUUUCUUUUUAUAUUCCGUUAUUUUAAUUGCAUGACAUAGAUUUUAGGAUUUUGUGAUUUAGUUUGAUUUAAAUGCUCAAUGUCUGUUCAUCUUCCGUUGUGUUUAUUUACUGUUUGAUUGAUUUUACUCAAAUAUGUUUACUUUAUUUUUGUUUGUUAAAAUUUUAAUUGGUAAAUACUUCUAAGGGUCGAUUGAACAAAAGGAAAACUUGAGAGGUUUAUUUGAGGGUUGGGUAAAAUUAAUAGGGUAAAAGAACCUACUGGAAGAUUCUAGAAUAAAGGCAGCUGGCCUCAUUUGGUUAGCAGAUAAUGCUGAAACCAAUGAAGGACAACCAGUUGUCUAAGUUGGUUAAAAACGAUGCUUGAAGGCUAAAGGAAUAAUUCUAUUAUUAUCUUCAACACAUGUCACUCCUUAAAGGCUAUAUAUAGACACUUUCUUUCACACACAAAUGAGAUUUUGGACCCUAAAAAAGAACCAAAAAGCUUCUAUAUUGCUUGAUUAAGAAAUUAGCAAGACCAUUUCUAAUUUUCUAUUUUAGUAAGAGUCUAGAAGAAUCUCUGCGGGAUUUCUGGUUUCUGGGUUUAAACAUGGUCUAAGGAAGCUAAAUAUUGUUAUUGAUUUGCUGCUUUGCUUAUACUUCUGCUCUUGCUGAGAUCCUCACUCCAUUUUUACUUUGUUUUUAUAUCCAGGUACUUCUUGGACCAUGAAGAAUAUGUGAAGUGCAAGCAUAGUUUCCAGUUGAAAUAUAUAGCUGAAAAUGUGAAGAUCUAAUGCUAAAUAUUGCCAUAUGCACCAGCUUCUUCCAAGUUUAUCUCGCCUCUUUAUUAGUUUUAGCUUUCUGCAGCUCUUAUGUAGUUUGUUCUGGGGUUUGUUUAAUGGCCACUCGCUGAAUGGGAAAUGUUAUACGUGAAGGUUUAGUUUAAUUCAUUGUUAUGAAACAUUCAAAAUUUCAAAUUAGUAUAUAAGGUUCUGGUAACCUAUGUGUGAAAAAGAUGUAAGAUCAUGAAUCAUGCAUGCUUAAAAGGAUAGUAUUUAACAUGUAUAUUUUCAGAACUUCAGCCUUAAUAGAAUAAUUAUAUGUAAUAGUAUGAUUAAUAAGUAGUUUUUCUAGGCUCAUGUUGUUAGUAUUAAUAGUAACACAAUAUUUUAAAGGUUUACAAUGUGGUUGCUUCGAUUUUGUGAUUUUCAGAACUCGUAUGUUGUGUUGUUUGUGUGUGAAUUAUAGCUAGUUGGGCCUCAUUAGGGCCUUAGUGUUGGAAGUAUCUUUGCCAAAAUGUGUAGAAUUCGGGGCUAGACCAAAUGGGGACACAUGGAUCGUGUCUAAGUUCGCUUGGUUUUAGUUGUUUCUAUUCCUUUAUUUGGGCUCAAUCUCGAGCCCAACCUUCGUCAGCUCUUAUUUUCCCAAAAUAUCUUAUCUUGAGUAGUGCAUUGGGUCUGUUGUUGGCCCAAGAUUAUUCAAU
rnacentral:lncRNA from 1 species